UACAGAGGGGGCAAGCGUUAUUCGGAAUUAUUGGGCGUAAAGGGCGCGUAGGCGGCUUAGCAAGUGACGGGUGAAAUCCCUCGGCUUAACCGAGGAACUGCCUGUCAAACUGCAUGGCUUGAGACCGGGAGAGGUGAGUGGAAUUCCCAGUGUAGCGGUGAAAUGCGUAGAUAUUGGGAGGAACACCAGUGGCGAAGGCGACUCACUGGACCGGUACUGACGCUGAUGCGCGAAAGCGUGGGGAGCAAACAGG
rnacentral:rRNA from 1 species